rfam:Arabis alpina cultivar Pajares Aa.chr5_contig_3621, whole genome shotgun sequence.
GGGGACAUAGCUCAGUUGGUAGAGCGCUCGCUUUGCAUGCGAGAGGUCCAGGGUUCGAUUCCCUGUCUCUCCA